rnacentral:rRNA from 1 species
UUGUUCGGAAUUACUGGGCGUAAAGGGCUCGUAGGCGGCCAACUAAGUCGGAUGUGAAAUCCCCAGGCUUAACCUGGGAACUGCAUCCGAUACUGGUUGGCUUGAAUCCGGGAGAGGGAUGCGGAAUUCCAGGUGUAGCGGUGAAAUGCGUAGAUAUCUGGAGGAACACCGGUGGCGAAGGCGGCAUCCUGGACCGGCAUUGACGCUGAGUGAGCGAAAGCCAGGGGAGCAAACGGG